rnacentral:rRNA from 1 species
AGCGAACGCUGGCGGCAGGCUUAACACAUGCAAGUCGAACGCCCCGCAAGGGGAGUGGCAGACGGGUGAGUAACACGUGGGAACGUACACUUUGGUUCGGAAUAACUUGGGGAAACUCAAGCUAAUACCGGAUAAGGCCUUAUGGGGAAAGGUUUACUGCCGAAGGAUCGGCCCGCGUCUGAUUAGCUAGUUGGUGAGGUAAUGGCUCACCAAGGCGACGAUCAGUAGCUGGUCUGAGAGGAUGAUCAGCCACACUGGGACUGAGACACGGCCCAGACUCCUACGGGAGGCAGCAGUGGGUAAUAUUGGACAAUGGGGGCAACCCUGAUCCAGCCAUGCCGCGUGAGUGAUGAAGGCCUUAGGGUUGUAAAGCUCUUUUACCCGGUACGAUAAUGACUGUACCGGGAGAAUAAGCCCCGGCUAACUUCGUGCCAGCAGCCGCCGUAA